CCUACGGGAGGCAGCAGUCGAGAAUCAUUCACAAUGGGGGAAACCCUGAUGGUGCGACGCCGCGUGGGGGAAUGAAGGUCUUCGGAUUGUAAACCCCUGUCAUGUGGGAGCAAAUUAAAAAGAUAGUACCACAAGAGGAAGAGACGGCUAACUCUGUGCCAGCAGCCGCGGUAAUACAGAGGUCUCAAGCGUUGUUCGGAAUCACUGGGCGUAAAGCGUGCGUAGGCUGUUUCGUAAGUCGUGUGUGAAAGGCGCGGGCUCAACCCGCGGACGGCCCAUGAUACUGCGAGACUAGAGUAGUAGAGAGGUAAGCGGAAUUCGCGGUGUAGCAGUGAAAUGCGUAGAUAUCGAGAAGAACACUCGUGGCGAAGGCAGGUUCCUGGACAUUAACUGACGCUGAGGCACGAAGGCCAGGGGAGCGAAAGGGAUUAGAUACCCGAGUAGUC
rnacentral:rRNA from 1 species